rnacentral:lncRNA from 1 species
CCCCCCCCCCCCCCCCCCCCCCCCCCCCCCCCCCCCCCCCCCCCCCCCCCCCCCCCCCCCCCCCCCCCCCCCCCCCCCCCCCCCAGAAUCCCAGAACUGUAGAGUGAUGGAAUCGUGGAAUCAUGUAAUCAGAGGGUCACAGGGUGAGAACCACAAAAUCAUGGAAUCAUAGACUCACAGAUCUGUAUAGUGGUGGAAUCAUGGAAUUACAGAAUCUCAGAGUCACAGAGUGAGAAUCACAAAAUCAUGGAAUCACAGACUCCCAGAAUCCCAGAACUGUAGAGUGAUGGAAUCAGGGAAUCACGGAUCUCAGAGUCACAGAGUGAGAAUCACAAAAUCAUGGAAUCAUAGACUCCAGAAUCCCAGAACUGCAGAGUGAUGGAAUCACAGAAUCACAGAAUCAGGGAGUCACAGAAUCUUAGAACUGCAGAGUGAUGGAAUCACAGAAUUACAGUGUCAGAGUCAACCACAGAAUCAUGGAAUCACAGAAUCAUGGAAUCACAAAGUCAUGGAUUCACAAGACUCUCAGAAUCCUAGAAGCACAGAGCCAUGGAAUCACAGAAUAUCAGACACACAGAAUCACAGUACUGCAGAAUCAGUCACAGACUCAUAGAAUCACAGAAUCAGAGAAUCAUGGAAUCACAGAGGGAAUUACAGAUUCACAGAGUUAUAGAAUCACUGAAUUACAGAAUCACAGAAUCGUGGAAUCGUGGAAUCGCAGUCUCACAAAAAUCACAGAACUACAGAAUCAGAGAAUCAUGGAAUUACAGAAUCACAGAAUCAGAGACUCACAGUCUCACAAAACCAAUAAUUACAGACUCACAAUUACAGAAUUACAGAAUUACAGAUCCACAAAAUCACAGAAUCAUGGAAUCACAGUCUCAUAAAAUCACAGAACUACAGAAUCAGUCUUACAAAAUCACAGACUCACAGAAUCAGAGAAUCAUAGAAUCACAGAAUCACAGAAUCACAGAAUCACGGAAUCACAGAUUCACAGAAUCACAGACUCACAGAAUUACAGACUCACAGAAUUACAGAAUCAUGGACAGGGACACACAGGGACACAGAGGAAUGAGGUUCCUUCUCAUUUAUCUCCUCUCAAGGCUGCACAGCCCCAGCUCCCUCAGCCUUUCCUGGGCAGGGAGAUGCUCCAGUCCUUUCAUCAUUUUUAUUGCUGGGCCUGCUCCCUGUCCCUCCUGUCCCGAUGAUUCCAGACUUGGACACAGCAUCCAAAACAUCCUUGUGGCUGCUCUUACAACCGAUGGCAGAAAUCUCCAUAGUGGGAUAGUGGGAUCACUUUAUUUCCCCGUUAAAAUCCAGUUUUUCUCCGGGGUGUCGUUCCCAAACUCCCGCUCUCCUUUAAAAUCCCAUUUUUCCCUGGGUUGUUGUUCCCCAAUUCCCGAAUUCCCGCCCGGGCUGGGACCCUCCCUGAGGGCUCCCACAGGGGCCUGAGGAGGACACAGCAUCCAAAACAUCUUUGUGGCUGCUCGUACAGCUGAUGAUAAAAAUCCCCAUUCAUGGGAUCACCCUAUUUCCCCGUUAAAAUCCCGUUUUCCCCAGGUUGUUGUUCUCGAAUUCCUGCUCGGGCUGGGACCUGCCCUGAGGUCUCCCACAGGGUCCUGAGGAGGACACAGCAUUGAAAACAUCUUUGUGGCUGAUGACACAAAUUCCCAUUAAUGGAAUCACUCUGUUUCCCCGUUAAAAUCCCGUUUUUCCCUGGGGUCUUGUUCCCCAAUUCCCUCUCAUUCCUGAAUUCCUGCUCGGGCCUCGACUCGUCCUGAGGGGCCUGAGGAGGACACAGCAUUCAGAACAUCUUUGUGGCUGCUCUUACAGCUGAUGACAGAAAUCCCCAUUAAUGGAAUCACCCUAUUUACCCAUUAAAAUCCUGUUUUUCUCCGGGGUCUUGUUCCCAAAUUCCUGCUCCUUCCCAAAUUCCCGCUCACCUGACCUGAGGGGCCUGAGGAGGACACAGCAUCCAAAACAUCUUUGUGGCUGCUCGUACAGCUGAUGAUAAAAAUCCCCAUUCAUGGGAUCACCCUAUUUCCCCGUUAAAAUCCCGUUUUCCCCAGGUUGUUGUUCUCGAAUUCCUGCUAAGGCUGGGACCCGCCCUGAGGUCUCCCACAGGGUCCUGAGGAGGACACAGCAUUGAAAACAUCUUUGUGGCUGAUGACACAAAUUCCCAUUAAUGGAAUCACUCUGUUUCCCCGUUAAAAUCCCGUUUUUCCCUGGGGUCUUGUUCCCCAAUUCCCUCUCAUUCCUGAAUUCCUGCUCGGGCCUCGACUCGUCCUGAGGGGCCUGAGGAGGACACAGCAUUCAGAACAUCUUUGUGGCUGCUCUUACAGCUGAUGACAGAAAUCCCCAUUAAUGGAAUCACCCUAUUUACCCGUUAAAAUCCUGUUUUUCUCCGGGGUCUUGUUCCCAAAUUCCUGCUCCUUCCCAAAUUCCCGCUCACCUGACCUGAGGGGCCCUGAGGGCUCCCACACGGUCCUGAGGAGGACACAGCAUCCAAAACAUCUUUGUGGCUGCUCGUACAGCUGAUGACACAAAUCCCCAUUCAUAGGAUCACCCUAUUUCCCCGUUAAAAUCCCGUUUUCCCCGGGUUGUUGUUCUCGAAUUCCCGCUCGGGCUGGGUCCCGCCCUGAGGGCCCUGAGGAGGCCGCGGCCCCUCAGCGCUAGAUGGAAGCAAAGCAUCGGCUCGAAGAGGGAAAAACGAGCUUGGUUUUCUUCACAAAAGGAGAAAAAUCCCUCCUGGAGACCCGCGGGUUCCCGGGGAGUGCACGGAGAGGGCAGCAGGGAAGGGGAAUGAGGUUUUUGAGGAAAAGGGGCUGAGGAAGCAAACCCAGCAUGGUGAGGCUGGAUAUCAGGGAAAGGAUUAUUGGGAAAAGGUUUAUUGGGAAAAGGUUCUUCCCCCAAAGAUUUGGGCAGGAUCCCCAAAUAAAGGUGACAUUGCCAAGGACAACGCUCCCAGGGAUGCACAGGGUAGGAUUUUUGGGGUUUGUGCAGGGCCAAGGAUUGGAUUUGAUGAUUCCAACUCAGGAUUUUCCAUAAUUCCCUGAGUGUCACAAUGUCCCCCACACAGCUGUUGUGUCCUCUUCCCUGUUUUUUGCAGCCCCUAAAGCCCUCAGCAUCGGAUGAUCCCAAAUCUUAAAGCAGGAGCCUGGACCAGAGGUCUCCUGGGGUCUCUUGCACCCCAAAUUCUGCAACAAUUCUACAAAAUCAGCUUGAAAUUCUUCUGUGAACAUCCAGUGACUUCAAAAACUCACGUGAGCUUCAGCUUCUGGAGACAGGGAAUUCCUCAGCUCUUGUUUGGGGAAUUGGCAAAUGUUUGGUUGUUGCUGUUUGCCAGGGCUUGGUGAUGCUGACAGGUCCCAAAUCUCCUUCCUGGUGGCAUCCUGGUCAAUUCCUGGAUUUUGGUGGAUCAGGAACCUACCUGUGAGCUGAGAGGAUGAAAAAACAGAACUGUGGAGGAGGAGGAGAGGACAGGCAGCAAGGGAAAAAAAAAAAAUCCACUAAAUUACAGAUAAAACUGAAGGGAGAUGCUGGCAAUGGCUACGUGACCUGUUCUGGGGCUUUGUGGGAUGGUUAAAAAUUUUCUUGGAAAAUCUCCAGAUCCAGGGGUUGUUCUGAGGAUUUUUGGCACCUCUCUCGUGACUGGGGUGUGCCUGGGGGCUGAAGGGUCAGCAGGGCUUGAAGGGAGGGAAAAGGGCACAAGGAAGGAGCUCUUCCCACUGGGAGGGGAUGAUUUAAAAGGCAGAUUUUUAAGAUUUUGAAGAGCCUGCUCCGGUGCCUGAGGUUGGCAUGAGGGUGUUUGGAAAUCUGGAACAGGUUGAAAUAGGGUUUAAAUAAUCCACUCCCACUGCUGCCUCCUCCAGCAGGCGCAAGGUUUGGAUUUCAAAUAGAUUCCCAUAUCCUUGUGCCUCCCUAAAAACAGCUCCUCACACCCCGUGCUGCCUCCUCAUCUCAGCCCUGGAGCUCAGCUGUGCUCCCUGCUCCUUAUCAGCUUCAUCCACUCAUUACAGCAACUUUUUAUCUUGCAUUCAUUUCCUCUCUGCUGGCUGCUCUCCCUUUGCCACAAGAUCUCCAGGCUCUUCCAGAACCAUCCAUUAACCCUUCAUCCCUCCAAGGCUGCUGCUGAGAUUUUGGGGAGAUGUUCCCUCAUCUCCCACCUCUCCACACUGAGCUGGGCAUCUCCAAAAAUCCUCCCACCCGAAUUUCUGCUUCUUUAGCUCAGAAUAAUCAGACAAACAUGGUUUUGGCUCCCAAGUACCAAACUCUGCCAUUCCUCCGGGGCAAGGGACACCAGGGAAGGUGCAGGUGGAGAUUUGGGAUGGCAGAGUCAGAGGCAGCCGGGCGUGUUUGGGUUUGUUCCCCACAUCUGAGCGGGGCUGUAGCCCAGGGCUGCCAUUCUGAUCUCUGCUGGAAUUCAGCUGCUGCUGAUUCAGUGGCCCCUGGGCUUCCAGAGGUGCCUUUUAAUCACAGGCUGGGGCCGAUUCCAGUCGGGCAGGACCUGGAAACACCGAGCAGGGCAGGGAAAUGUGAAUUUCCAAAGGCACAACUCUGCACUUUGGCAAUUCCUUAUCUGAGAACUCCUCUGAAGUGGGGCAAGGACCUUCUGCAGCCCCAGGCACUCAGGCCAGACGUGUUUUGCUCCCAAGCUGAUGGAGAUUUUUUUCCCCCUCUCCAUUUCAAAUUCCAGCCCAUUUUGUGACCUCAAAAAUGAUGCAGUAUAUGUUUUCAGACAGCAUAAAUACAUCUGAUUUUAUUCUGAUUUAAAGGGUUUCUGUAGGUCUGCUGGUAGAAUUGAUUUGGCUUAACACAUUCCUGGACAUUUCUGUUUAUUAUUUUACAGCAUCAUAAAUACAAAAAAAAAAUGUAUAAAUCUGAGAAGGUUUAAGCUUUGAAAUGUGCAGUGAGCACUUAAGAUGCAGCAAAGGCACAGAGCUUGUCCAAAACUCACCUCCAAGACCACUCAGAUCCUGGGAAUUGUACAAUUCAAGGGAAUAUUGAUGGGAAAAGAUCAACCACUGACAUAAUUUUCAUGUUUGGAACGUGGAUCUGACCCUCAACCGCUGUCUAAUGGAAAUUUUAAAAAAAGCUUGGAUUUAGGAAGCCAAGGAAGCAACCAUGGAGUGAUUGGUGUGACUUGUAAAAAAAAAAAAAAAAAAAAAAAAAACAGUCUGGGGGCCCCCCCCCCCCCCCCCCCCCCCCCCCCCCCCCCCCCCCCCCCCCCCCCCCCCCCCCCCCCCCCCCCCCCCCCCCCCCCCCCCCCCCCCCCCCCCCCCCCCCCCCCCCCCCCCCCCCC